ACUCCUACGGGAGGCAGCAGUAGGGAAUAUUGGACAAUGGGUGAGAGCCUGAUCCAGCCAUGCCGCGUGCAGGAAGAAGGCCUUCUGGGUUGUAAACUGCUUUUGCCAGGGGAUAAAAUUCUCAUGCGUGAGAAAUUGAAGGUACCUGGUGAAUAAGCCACGGCUAACUACGUGCCAGCAGCCGCGGUAAUACGUAGGUGGCAAGCGUUGUCCGGAUUUAUUGGGUUUAAAGGGUGCGUAGGCGGUCCUAUAAGUCAGUUGUGAAAUACGGCAGCUUAACUGUCGAGGUGCAAUUGAUACUGCAGGACUUGAGUACAGACGAGGUAGGCGGAAUUGACGGUGUAGCGGUGAAAUGCUUAGAUAUCGUCAAGAACACCGAUAGCGAAGGCAGCUUACUAGACUGUAACUGACGCUGAUGCACGAAAGUGUGGGGAUCAAACAGGAUUAGAUACCCUGGUAGUCCACACUGUAAACGAUGAUUACUCGAUGUUGGCGAUACACAGCCAGCGUCUUAGCAAA
rnacentral:rRNA from 1 species